rnacentral:lncRNA from 1 species
CGACAUGUCGGUGGCGUACGGGAUCGAGCAGUACGCGUCCAGCAUCGUGCAGGCGGUGCGGCUCAAGUGCGCGUACCAGGGCGUCGCGCACCCGGUCCUGUGCACCGAGAGCGGCCGCGCCAUGGCGUCGCACCACUCCAUGAUCAUCCUUGAGGCGCUGUCGGCGAUCCAAGAGCCGCAGGACGAGGACACCUCCGAGCAGCUGCUGAGCAAGAUCCAGGACCUCUCCUCGAAGCACCCCGGCAGGGCCACGGCGGCUAACGGCGGCGGGGCGUUCGAAGGCAUAUACUCCCACGCCGCGGAGCUCAAGAAGCACGGCAUCGAGAUGUACAAGCUGGGCAAGAAGCUGAGCAAGAGAAUCGUCGGCGACGCCAACCCCAUCUACAACUACCACAUGAACCUCUCCGUCUUCUCGCUGGUGCCCGACUUCUGGGGCAUCAAGCAGCUCUU